GAUGAACGCUAGCGGCAGGCUUAAUACAUGCAAGUCGAGGGACAGCACAGGUAGCAAUACUGGGUGGUAACCGGCAAACGGGUGCGGAACACGUACACAACCUUCCUUUAAGUGGGGGAUAGCCCAGAGAAAUUUGGAUUAAUACCCCGUAAUAUAGUUGAAUGGCAUCAUUUGAUUAUUAUAGCUACGGCGCUUAAUGAUGGGUGUGCGGCUGAUUAGAUAGUUGGCGGGGUAACGGCCCACCAAGUCUACGAUCAGUAGCUGAUGUGAGAGCAUGAUCAGCCAACCGGGCACUGAGACACGGGCCCGACUCCGACGGGAGGCAGCAGUAAGGAAUAUUGGUCAAUGAACGCAAGUCUGAACCAGCCAUGCCGCGUGAAGGAUUAAGGUCCUCUGGAUUGUAAACUUCUUUUAUUUGGGACGAAAAAGGGCCUUUCUAGGUCAACUGACGGUACCAGAUGAAUAAGCACCGGCUAACUCCGUGCCAGCCGCCGCGGUAACAC
rnacentral:rRNA from 1 species